rnacentral:rRNA from 1 species
UACGGGGGGGGCAAGCGUUGUUCGGAAUUACUGGGCGUAAAGGGUUCGUAGGUGGCCAACUAAGUCAGACGUGAAAUCCCUCAGCUUAACUGGGGAACUGCGUCUGAUACUGGAUGGCUUGAAUCCGGGAGAGGGAUGCGGAAUUCCAGGUGUAGCGGUGAAAUGCGUAGAUAUCUGGAGGAACACCGGUGGCGAAGGCGGCAUCCUGGACCGGCAUUGACGCUGAGGAGCGAAAGCCAGGGGAGCAAACGGG